rnacentral:rRNA from 1 species
CAAUAGCGUAUAUUAAAGUUGUUGCGGUUAAAAAGCUCGUAGUUGGAUUUCUGCUGAGAACGACCGGUCCGCCCUUUGGGUGUGUAUCUGGCUCUUUCUUGGCAUCUUCUUGGUGAACGUUGCUGCACUUGACUGUGUGGAGCGCUACCCAGGACUUUUACUUUGAGGAAAUUAGAGUGUUUCAAGCAGGCAGACGCCUUGAAUACAUUAGCAUGGAAUAAUAAGAUAGGACCUCGGUUCUAUUUUGUUGGUUUCUAGAGCUGAGGUAAUGAUUAAUAGGGAUAGUUGGGGGCAUUCGUAUUUAACUGUCAGAGGUGAAGUUCUUGGAUUUGUUAAAGACGGACUACUGCGAAAGCAUUUGCCAAGGAUGUUUUCAUUGA